rnacentral:rRNA from 1 species
UACAGAGGUCUCAAGCGUUGUUCGGAUUCAUUGGGCGUAAAGGGUGCGUAGGCGGCGCGGUAAGUCGGGUGUGAAAUCUCGGGGCUUAACUCCGAAACUGCAUUCGAUACUGCCGUGCUUGAGGACUGGAGAGGAGACUGGAAUUCAUGGUGUAGCAGUGAAAUGCGUAGAGAUCAUGAGGAAGACCAGUGGCGAAGGCGGGUCUCUGGACAGUUCCUGACACUGGAGCACGAAGGCCAGGGGAGCAAACGGG